rnacentral:rRNA from 1 species
UACGAGAGCCUCAAGCGUUAUCCGGAAUUAUUGGGCGUAAAGGGUGUGUAGGCGGUAAUGUUAGUCUCAUGUCAAAGCCUGUCGCUUAACGACAGAUCCGCAUGGGAAACGGCAUAACUAGGAGGGUGCAAGAGGCGAGUGGAAUUCCCGGUGUAGCGGUGAAAUGCGCAGAUAUCGGGAGGAACACCAAUGGCGAAGGCAGCUCGCUGGGACGGUACUGACGCUGAGACGCGAAAGCGUGGGGAGCAAACAGG